rnacentral:rRNA from 1 species
UACGGAGGGGGCUAGCGUUGUUCGGAAUUACUGGGCGUAAAGCGCACGUAGGCGGACCAGCAAGUUAGGGGUGAAAUCCCGGGGCUCAACCCCGGAACUGCCUUUAAAACUGUUGGUCUGGAGGUCGAGAGAGGUGAGUGGAAUUCCGAGUGUAGAGGUGAAAUUCGUAGAUAUUCGGAGGAACACCAGUGGCGAAGGCGGCUCACUGGCUCGAUACUGUCGCUGAGGUGCGAAAGCGUGGGGAGCAAACAGG